rnacentral:tRNA from 1 species
GGAGAGGUGCCAGAGUGGCCAAUUGGGCUUGCUUGGAAAGCAAUGCGGGGUAAAACCCACGGGAGUUCGACUCUCCCUCUCUCCGCCA